AAAUAAAAAAAAAAAGAUAGAAAAAAGUUGUUAUAUAUCUCUACAGAACUUGAAUUUCAGAUUGGAAAAGAGAAAGAUUGUUCAUACGCUUAAAUAAGAACUUUAGUUGCAGCCAGCUCCCAUAAAAAAGAAAAAAUUAAUUCGCAGCCAGCUCUUAAGGGGAAGGAAAAUAACUCGGGUUGAAUGCUCAAAAAAGCGCUUCUUGUCAAGUGGAUGUGGCGGUCGUUAGCCGAAGAUGAUUAAAAAAAGCGCUUACCUAUUUUUUUUUAACCACUCAUUUCAACCUUGACCAUAUUUUAUAACUUGAAUUGAAGUUGGUACUAUUGGAGAAAGAAGAAUUGUUCAUUCAACUUGAGCUUACGCUGAAAGUGCUUGAAAUAAGGUAAAAAACAAUAAUAUAUCUUCCUUUUUUAUUAUAAUAUUUUGUUGUUGCUCAUAACAUAGAAUCAAUAUAUCACCUUAGAAACGUAUCAUUAAUGCUUGAUUUAUUCUGUAAUAUGUUUAAUAGCACAACAUAAGUUUAUAAAAGUAGUACAUGAACAUAGGAUUAUUGGAUGAUGAAUCCUUGCCUCCAGGAUGUUUCCGGCCGCUCCUAGCCAUCUAGAGUCGAUUUUAUCAACUUUAGAUCGCCAGAAGUAAGUAUUUUAGAAGAAAAGGUCGCAAAUAUUUCUAGAUCCACACUCCCUAAAUUUUAGAAAACAGUCAUGCGCGUCAUGCAGGACCUUGCUCCCAUCGCAUAUGAAGAUCUAAGUGGAAAUAUGAUUUUCUCCCAAGUUGGGUGAUGCGCAACUUCUUGUGGGCAUCACACAUGAAGACGAUCAAUAAACAUACACCUAUCGAUGAUAUAUUUCUGAAUGUCAGGACACCCGGCUGUGUCCCAACCAUCAAUAUAACAAAUCAAUUUAAGAGUUAUCUAAUGAGGACAGAAUAUGGCCCAUUGAGAGGUAGCCUUUUAAGUUACAAAUUAUACGAAAAAAUGUAGUUAAGAUGAAAAGGAAAAAACACGAACUGACUUAUUUGUCGGGCAUCAAAUGGUAUGUCAGGUCGAGUAAUGGUUAACUAAUUAACACUACCGAUGAGUCUAGUGGUAUUUAACAUUAAUUUGAAGCGGAGUAAUCAUCGGGUUAUUUGAUUAGCGGCCAGUCAUACAAAUCAAGUAUGUCUCAUAAUAAUGGAGAAAUACCCUUAGAAGUAGAAUAAACCUCAAGGCCAAGAAAAUAAUGAAAAUUUCCAUGAUAUUUCUUAUGAAAUGAGGCUUGCAAUUGUUGUUAAAGUUCAUGAAUGGAUACCUGAUAAAAACUAGUAAUAACCAUACCAUAAAAAUAAAUAAGGAGAAGAACAAUGGCCAUAUAUAGACGAGUAGUUAAUGAACAAAGAGGAGUCAUGUUGACUCUAAAU